UGGACCCAUGAUGAUGACUGGUGGCGUGUAUGAGUCAUGGGUGGUGAAUACUAUGUUCCUGAAACUCUGAGGUCCAA
rnacentral:snoRNA from 1 species